CUUCCUAUGGCUUCCUUCUUUGACCUUUAAAGAUUCUUCUUUUUGAAAGCCUUUAUUAGAUUUUACAAUAAAACUUUUAGAGCCACUCCAUUUUCUUAAAUUUGAGAAUGAUGUCUUUUUUACCUAUCUGAUUUGUUUGCUUCCUAGAUCGGCUAUCGGAAUGUGAUUACACUAUUGCACUCUCAAUAUCUAGGUAGACAGAAAUAGUUGAACAAGCUCAUAACUACUAAGUAAACACAGGAUCUAAUACUUUCCAGCUUCAUACAAUAUUUUGUUUUAGUACAGCAGGAAAAAAAAAUGGAUAAUCGAAACUUACGUAUACCAAAAAAUGUUGGUUUUAUAAAUCUGUUUUUGACAGUCACCACCUUUCAAAUAUUACAACUAUGCUUUUUAAUUCUUCUUUCUUAGGCAAGCUCUAUGUAUUGAAGUCUUUUAAUCUUUCAUUGCAUGUUAAUUUUUUUCUAUCACUAUUUAAUUGGUGUUUUUCUCUAAAUUAUCUUUCACCUUUCAUUUUUAUAUUUUUUUACAGAACAGAGAUUCAAUACAAAUGCAAUAAUCUGAACCCACCCACUGCAUUUUAAAAUGUUUAUUUUCCCAUAGACCGAGUGCCUUUGUAAUUUGCUUUAUCUUUCAAACUUUUUAGUCUACACAUAAUGUGUAAAUAAUUAAAUUUCAUUAUGGGAGAAUAAAGACAUUAAAGGGUUCUAUAAAGUUUUUUAUUUUUCUCUUCAUGAUGAAGUGCUUUUUCAUGAAGAUGCCUUUUUCAGAUAGCUUGCAGCUAUGUUCAAAUUUUUAAUUGAGUAAAUAACUUUUUCUCUGGACUAGAAACACAAAUAAUGUUUUCAUUAUAUAGAGGAUUAGUUAAAUGAAGAAAUUUGGUAAUUUCCAAAAGGAAAAUUGAAAGUCAUUUGGGAAUAAUAAGACAAAUGGAGACUAGAGAUUAAAUUAAAUGGUGAAUUAUGUGACAAAUGGGUUGACUGACUGCAGAGAAAAUGAUGGGAGUCCAAAGCCAAUUCAGUCAAAGAUGGUGGCUCCUCCCUGUGUUGUUUCAGUGUCUUUCCAUUUCUCCACAGAAUUCUGGGGAAAGUAUGGUGUCUUACAAUACAGUGACAUGGGACUGAUGCAGUGCUAUUUUUAAUUCUGAUUUGAAGGGGAUCAGAGAAGAGGUAUUUAAAUAGAAGACCUUUAAUAAAUGCCUAUUGACUAAGUAAUUAGAUUCAAGCUUUAUUGCUUUUACUAAAUUUAGCCCUUAAGAUAAUGACAUUAAAGUUAAAUGAUCCAAAAUGAGCUACAUUUGAAAACAGAGUGAAAAAGUUUUCAUCAUAUAUAUAUAUAUACACACAGAAAAUAUGCUAUCAGCCCAAAAUUAUGUAGCAGAAUUAAAAACAGCACUGCAUCAGUUUCAUGUUAUUUUAUUAGAAGAUGCAAGUAAGACUUUUUUGUGUGAAAAUAAUAAAUCAUUGUAUCUAGUUCCCACUGGAGUUAGCUUUUAUUAAUAAUCUUUGGAAAAUGUAGACAAAAUAAUCCUGUUUUGUCUUCAGCAUAAGCAGAAAUUCUUAAUUCUAUCUAAUUCUUAUGUUCUGUGCAGAUUUGCUAUGAACACCUUUCCUCUACAUUUCCAUAACAGUGUAGAGAAUUUUAUCAUAGCCCCUAAAUAUCAGAUGAGAUUGGUUCAUUCAGGGUGGUAUGGCCGUAGACGCCCCUAAGUAUCAAUGAGCGAUUGUUCUGCCUUUCCCAGUCAACUUUAAGAAAUUGGAGUGCAGGAAACUUACUUGAUCUAGUCACCCUUUACCCUAGAACUGCACCUGGAUAUGGAAAUGAAUACAUAAAUAUGGAACAAUUAGGUCUAUAUCAUUUGCAGUUUAUUCCCAGAAAUUCAAAACAAAUUCUAAAGCCAAAUGCAAAUAAUUUGGUGAGUAGUCUCUUGGAGGAUAUUUUGAGGUCUCUAUUGUCUCAAUUUAAGUAGAGUUUAUAAGUCUUGCUUAGCUAGAUAAAAUAGAUCUUUAGAAAAAGAAACAGAGCACUACCUGACAUGGUUCCCUACUGAACUUAGGUAAUGAUAAAAUAUCAUCUAUUCAAAAAAGGUUUCUUAUUUUAUUGGCUAUUUUUUCUUUCAACCUCAUUAGGAAUAUUUAUGCAACCUGAAGGUUUUGCAUAAACUCUUCUAAUUUUAUUUGUGAUCAGCACUUGAUUAAAUUUUUAUUUUCUAUAUAGAUAUGACAGUGGAAUCUUAGAAAAAGUCAACUUAGAGCCAAGGAAAUGUGUUACCACCUAAAUGCAUCUUUGAUGCAGAUAAUCAUGACUUGUUUUCCUUGAUUUAACAGCAGGUUGAUACAUCAACUUUCUGGACUCAAUAGAGAAAACCUUAUUCUGCUACUUCUUUUAUGAAUUGAAGGAGUGAGAUUAGGCUUUCAAACAUGGCCAAAGAGAAAAUUGCCCCUACCUAUUUUCCAAAGUAACAAAUGACAAAUAGCUGCAAUUGAUAGAACAAUCAAAUGUGCUGCUUUUUUGCCUGACAAUAAUUCAUUGUAAAAUUCUUUAAUACGGAGGUUAGUGAAUGACACAAGAGCUUAAAACAAUCCAGAGAAAACAAGAAAGAACAGAAAUGGACACCAGUAAAUGAUCUGAAAAGAAUGGUGUAGUGUGUGUGUAUGUGUGCGCGUGUGUGCGUGUGUGUGUGUGUUGGGGGAGGGAGGCAAAGAUGGGAAUUGGAUAUUU
rnacentral:lncRNA from 10 species